CAUUUAUUUUAAAAAACUGAGUUCUCUCUCUCCCUCCUUUCUCCCUCAAUCUCAGCCCUUAAGUUCAAGCCUCCACCGCCGCCUCCAUGGCCAGUGGCCGGAGUUGCGCGAAACGGACUUCUCAGCCCUCCUUUCACGGCUUCCCUGAAGGCUAAGCCUUCUCAACCGCGGGACCGAGAGAAAAAAGGAAGAGACUCCCCCUCCCCGCUCGACUCUGGUGAUGGCGAAGGUGGGUUCCGGCCGGCCCUCGAAACAAAUAGGCAUUUAAUGGGCAUGGUGGUGGGUCGGUGGCAGAGAGUUGAGGUGACAGAAGCAGGUGGUGGCGUGCGGCGCUGGAGCAGGUGGCGACCAGGAGUAGGUGCGGCGCUAGGGUCCCUAGUCUGACUUGGACUUGCCUAUUGGGCUUGGGGGUAAUUUGGGUUUAGGGUCAGGUUUAGUUUUUCCUGGGCUUGUUGGGCUAAGUUUGUAAUUGGGUCUGAUUUUAGGUUAGUGGGCCUGGUUUGAUUUGGUAAGGCCCGGGCUAAAUUUGGGCUGUACAGUUAUAAGUCAAUUUGAUCCAUAAGUAAUAUCGGGAAAACUCAAAAAAGA